GUCGAGAAUCUUUCACAAUGGGGGCAACCCUGAUGGAGCGACGCCGCGUGGAGGAUAAGGUCUUCGGAUUGUAAACUCCUGUCAUGCGUGAACAAGGUUGCUUGGUUAAUACCUGGGCAAAUUGAUGGUAACGCAAGAGGAAGAGACGGCUAACUCUGUGCCAGCAGCCGCGGUAAUACAGAGGUCUCAAGCGUUGUUCGGAAUCACUGGGCGUAAAGGGUGCGUAGGUGGCGUGGUAAGUCAGAUGUGAAAGCCCGGGGCUCAACCUCGGAACUGCAUCCGAUACUGCCAUGCUAGAGUAAUGGAGAGGUGACUAGAAUUCUCGGUGUAGCAGUGAAAUGCGUAGAUAUCGAGAGGAAUACCAAAGGCGUAGGCAGGUCACUGGACAGUUACUGACACUGAGGCACGAAGGCCAGGGGAGCGAACGGGAUUAGAAACCCGUGUAGUCC
rnacentral:rRNA from 1 species